rnacentral:lncRNA from 1 species
CUUUUUUUUCUUUUUUUUUUUUUUUUUUUUGAAGAGGGCUUUUAUCUACAGUCUGGAAUUUUAAAAGUCUUAUAUCCUGCAAGGACUGUUUGAAGCAGUUCCAGAAGAACUGCUUUUCAUUAGUAAGUGCUGACUCAAUGAUCUGUAGAAAUGUAUUGAGUUCAUCAAAAAAAUUAAAGAAAAUUAUUUGGUUUUACUUCUAAAAGGUUACAUAAUUUCAGUUGGACUUCAUCACUUAAAUCACUAUGUUUCAAAUGUGUUAUCACUUGAAAGUAGAAAUAAUAAAGGCAAAACAAACUGAUUUGAUUCCAUCAAAGUCUUUGAUAAAGAGCUCUUUUGAUGACUUCAAGUAAAGCAAUUCCAAAAUGUUAUUUCUCAGUAAAUUUUGGAAUUUCAAGGUUUUGUUUAAAUUUGAAAAAAAAGCAAAAAACUAAGUGAUAGCCUUUCUUAAGCAACAUAAAUGUUGAACUUAGGCAAAUGCUGAUAUAAUUGUGCCCAGCAGGCCAGGGUUUUAUUCAAGUGAGUGUAUGUGUAUUUAUAUGUGAUAUAAGCUUGAACACAUGUGAUCUAAGUUUGGACAUAAAGUCUAGAGGGCUGCCAGGGCAGGGCAGUUUUUCAAGCUGCUCUAAUAUAAACCAGAAUCACAGUUAUUGCUUUUCUGCAAAAUAAGAGAGUCUGUACUUACACUUUUCCCCACUCUUGUCAGCUGGGUAAAAGGGGCUGAAAAGACACUUAAAAGGCACUCUGGUUAUACCUACACUGAUAAAUAGCAUGUUUGGGCAUGUUAACUGGCCUUGAGGCUCUGCUGUAUGGCUGUGUUCCAUGCUCUUGGCCUUUCUCACCCACCUAAAGAGGAUGUGUGAGAAACAAGCAUUAAUCUGCAUCAGCCUUAUCAGAUGGCAAGGAAAAGGUAGAUUUCAUAGCAAGUCACGGUGGCGUAGACAUUAGUCUUCAUGCACUCUUUCAAAGCCCAUGAUUAUCAAGUUAGGAGCAGGGAGUUAAAACCACAUCCACUCACCACAGGCUACAAGAGAGUUUGAAGCCAGCAGUUAUCUGUUUCAGAGAGGUUUAUUCAUGUCAUUUUCUUGCCCAUGCUCCCAGUCUGUUUUCUGUUCAGCCAGCCUGCAGCAAUAGUCCUGAGAAGCAUAGAUUCUUCUUUUCAUCCUGUGUUCAUCAUUCUUUAGAUUUAGUUUGCAUCAAGCACUGACAUCUGAACACAUAAGCUUAUCCUACAGCCACAAACCCUUCAGAUUCACAAGUACCAUCUGCUCUCAGUAAAACUACGUAAUCAGCCCAGCUCCUCCACUGAUAAAUUCUUCUGAUGCUGCUACACAUCAUAGGGAUGGUCCUACUCAGACCAGAGUCUACCUGGCCCAGGACAGUAAUCAACAGCAGAUGCCUCGGAAAGGGUAUGAAAACACACAGUGAUGGCUUUCCCUGAAGAUGUGUUUGGUAUCUCCUGUGCCGUCACUAAUGUCUUUGUGUUUAGUUUUUCACAAUGGGAACUUCCAUGGAUUUUUUUGUGUAGGUUUUUUUGCCUCUGCUAGCUCACAGUACACAUAACACACACGGAUAAAUUGCACACGUAAGUACGCACCGCAUAAGGAAAAACAUAAAGUAGCUUUGAACUGCAUACAUGCUGGGCUCAUAGACAUCUAGAUCUUGAUGGAAAGAGGCAAGGAGUCUCCAUAUUAUUUUCUUCCAAACUUAGAAGACCUCUAAGUCACUCUUCAUGUGAAGGCAUUUCCAUGCUUCUCUCGUUUCCUUUCUCUAAGCUUUUUCCAGUUCUCCACUACAUGUUUUUUAAGAAGAGGGGACAUGAGCUCUGUAGGGAUUUAUGCAGUUUCUUUUGUUCUGUAUUUCUUUUCUAAUAAUUCCUAACAUUCAAUUUACAUUUUUAUUGCUGCUGAGCAUUAAAUUGGUGGUUUCAUAAAAACUAUUCAUUAAAAUUCCGAGAUCUCAUUCCUAAGUGGUAACAUUCAAUUCAGAGCUGAUCACACUACAAGGAGAGUUAAGAUUGCUUUUUUCAUGGGUAUCACUUAUAUUUAUCUACAUUGAAGUGGUGAUACCAAAAUUUGCAAUACAGUCAAAACUUCAAUUUCUGCCUAAAACAAAUAUUUUCAAAAAUAUAAAAACUGGCUCUUGUUAAGAAAUACUUGUUUGAAUCUGUCACUGAAGAAUUUUCCAAUGACAUGACAGUGUAACAUAAAGAGAUCUCUAUGCAUCAUUUUUUACCACUCUAAGCAAUAUCACUGUCUCAAUAUUCUGAGUCAUCAUGCUAUGUUAGAGCCACAAUUCCUUCAGACGAAGGAAUAGAAGAAAAUCCCACCUUUCAUUAACAAAAAUCAAGUACAUUUCAAGCUAUCAUCUGUAUAAAAGCUAAAAAUGUGAUACAGUUGCAUGGUCAAGAACAACAGUAUACAGACUAAAAGAACUUAACUUUUUUUUCCAUUUUAGCAUUCUUUUUAAACCUAUUUCAUACUUUGAGAAGCAUAAUUUUUAACUAGAUAACAGAAUUAUGAUGGUGAACAAAUGAUACAUAUAUAGGUACUGUCAAUCAAAUUUAUGUAUGAUGGCAAUGUGUGAUAUAUUUCUAAACUACCCUAGAGUUAAUCCAGUUAGUUUGGAGGGGUUUUUUAAUAAAUCUGGAAAUACUGUCAAAUUUAUCAUAUCAUCAAGAUCACACUAGUUCCUGUGGAUGAAAAGAUUUAAUACCUUCAGGAAAACACCAAACAGACCACAACAACUUAAUAGCAAGGAAUGUGGUUCUAUUUAAGACCUGAUGAUGCUAUCUCAUUAUCCAAAUGAGUGUUCUGCCCUACAGACUCUCAGCUAGCCUAGAAAGCAUUGCUCACAGUUUCUCUUCAUGGAGCUGUUCCACAGUGAGAUACCAAGGUCCUGAUCUGAAGCACACUGAGUUAGAAAAGCAAAGCAUGAAAACUACAAGUAUUAGGGGAAGAAACAUUUUCUCUCUUUCUAUAUUAUGGCAUAUAUCUACAGAGAUAGACAAUAUUUUGUCUCUGUGACUUCUUUAUUGUCUUUUGGAUCAGGAAUGGAAAUACUAUGAUUUAUAAGUGCUAUUAGGAAUUAGUUAUCAUUCCAAACAUACAUAGUUUUAACAAUUUAAGUGAAAAUCUUAGUCUCAUUUAAGCAUGCACAACUACUUAAAACAAAGCCCAAAGAGAAUUGUUGGUUGUUCUACAAACUCCUAAUUUUCUAAGUCAAAUUAUUUGGAAGUACCAAUUUAAUUAAACAUUCAAAAUAAUUAAUACUUUAAACUUAUCUUGAGAACAAACAGUUUAUUUUCUAUAUCCUCACAAGCAGUAAGCAUUUUAAGAUAAUAUAUAUGCACACACAUCAUUUUUAGAAAAUCAUUGCAUGCCAUGGUAUAUAAUAAAUGUAAAUCAUCUUAUUUCUAUCCAUAGGAUCUUAUCCAGUACAAACACAAGAAUUCAUGUUUCAGAUCUUAUUUCUAGUAAAAGGCAGAUUACCUCUUACCAUUCUCUACUCUUAAUUUUCAUUUUAUAAAAGAAGCCUUUACUUAAUCUUUCUGCCAGUUUAAUUAUGAAGUGUGAACUGUCACAGUUCUAGUACAUGCUGUGGUCCCUGCUCUGAUUGCUUCGUGACUUGCACUUUUAAUAGUGCAUCACUGGAGAGAUUUGGCACGAAGACCAUUAAACCAUGGAAAAGCAUGCAUUCACUCCUUGCUUUGGGACCCAGUGGUAAUAACUGAGCUUGGUAGCCAGACAAAUCAAUGACAGCAAACACCUCCCAUCUUUUUCUCGCAGUGAGGUCUCCUUCUGGAUACCUGUCUCUCACCUGAAAGAGGAGGCACAUGGCUUGCUGUACAGGAGUAAGGAAUAAGGACAACACUCCUGUCCAUAUUGUCAGGCUAAAAUCUUAUUUUGGUGAGAUUCUUUGCAGGGGCACAAUCUCUCAUAACUGCCCCGCCCAUUCUGUUUGAACACCAAUGUGUGGAGAUACAUUUAAUGACUUCUGUAACUCCCUUGUUUGCAAGAGAUGUCUUUAGCAAGUCAACCUGAAACUUGCUGUUGUAAUAUUUUCACCAACAGUUUUGUUGCUAGGAGUUAACUUAGGUUGGUUAAAUGUGAGAAACUUCUUUAUUUCCAUUUGCCCCAGCUACCUUAUUUGUUCUUAGAUGGCUCCUGGUCCACCCAGCUGAGCACUGCCUCUGUGGUGCUCAUAAAGCUCCAUCAACACUCAGGCAUGUAUAACAUGCACAGUCCAUACAGCCCUUCUCUGAUUAGUAUGUGCCUCCUGUUCUCCUGUGUCACUUCAGCUAUCCUCCAAAUUACAGUGCAAGAGUACAUUUAAACUCAUAAAAAAGUUCUCAGCUAUUUCCUCUCAGGAUGAGAGGUUGUUUUGAGACCAGUUGAUGUUGUUUUGAAAUUUCCACUGUUGGGCAGAUGCAAUAGCCCCAUGGAUUUUGUGUUUUGAAUUUUCUGACCCUUCUAAGUAAACUAAGCACUAAAAACUGGGAAGCAGGAGAAGCUUGGAUGUGUAAAAUCUCAAAUAUUCAUUUCCCCAUUGAAUUUUGACAGAAGCUUUAGUAAUUUUGUAUUUUGCCUGAAUUGCUUCAGUGUGUAUACAGUACAGAUAGUCAACAGGUAAAAUAAAUCUCUAUUUUCAAGUCUUAGCUUUGUACUGAAGGUGCAAAAGCAUUGCUAGGAAGAAAGCUGGGAUAUAAGCCUCAGACUGAGAUACAGCACCAGGCAGCUCUGUAGAUGUAAAAAUGAUUCUGCUAUAACAUCCAUACGUGGUAGUAAAUAUGAACAGCACUGCUAGCUGGUGGGACAGGUGGAAAGGGUCAGCACUAUUGCUCCCAUUUCAAGAAUCCUAAGGAUUUGCAUAGUGUAUAUGCCAAGUGGCAGAAAGACAAAGCUGUGUUGAAAGUGAAUAAUCAGUUUCUAUAUAAUAAAAAUAUGUUCAUCUUCCGAUUUUAGAGAGGGACUUCACAGAGUCACACAGCUCUGAGAGCUAAGUGAUAUAACAAUAUGCCCUCUAAAAGCAAGCUAGAACACUCUUCCCUUCUUUCAGAAAAUCCUGACCUUGUGGAAGUAAACCUGUGUUCUGUGAAGUGAGAGUUUACUGCAUUAUUGUCAGCUUGAAAUGACCUACCAUACGGCUGUUGGAGAUUUCACGAGUGAAUUCCUUGUGUGGCUGUGGGAAGGUUUUGCACAAGAUAGGAAAUCACUUGUAAAGUAUUUUGACAGAGAUUCCAGAUUUGUGAGUGUGUCUUAAGUUCUAUGUAACAUUAUCUAGAAUAGGCAGAAAAGUAAAUUACUUUUUUCUAUUAUAUAUGCAAGUGUAUAACUAAGGGAUGAGAAAAAUUAUCUUUGCCUUUUGGGAUGAAGUAAGAGAAUUAAUCUUUUACUUACCAUGAGACAAUGGUACAGAGCUGAAGGGAACAGAAGUAUUAAAUGUCUUAGGUAAUAAUUGGAAGCUAGAAAUCAUGUUGAAGAAUAUGCAUACACACAUGAUUUUCUAUUUUAAAACCUACCUUGGUGCAAGAUACACCUAAGUAAUACAAAGAUAUAAUUUAUUUAAAACUACACAUAAUAAAUGGAGCACUUGGGUUUUAUCUAUUUGUAUUUAUGCACAACCUAAAUGCAACAAUCUGGUUCUCUGCACACCUGUUCCAUAAAAACAUAGUUCUUAGAACAAGGCGCCCACAAUUCAUCGUUUCCAUAUUAUAUGGCAAAGUUUAAGCUAAUAAAACAAACCCACCCCAUUUUCAAAUGGAGUACACAUCAUGGCUCAUCUCCUAGGAUGCAUUAUAACAGGCAAUAAUCUAACUUUGUCCUGGCAAUUAACUAACUCAGUUUAUUUUGGGCUUGGAGAAGGAAGUAUAAGCUUCAAAACUGUGGCACUUCUACAUAUCAAAUUAAAACACCUGUACUUUACAUAGAGAGGGAAAAGCAGUUUCUAUAGCCAGCUGCUGUCAAGCCAGGGCAAUAGAGAUCAAACCAGUCAGUGCCAAAACAUAGAGCCAUUUUCUACUGAGCAGCAGUGGGGUAGGAGACAGCAUCUUGAGAAGCAGUCAGGCCAAAAGCAAUCCUGCCACAAGCACCAUGGUGCCCCGAGCUUGCCCUUGUUAUUCAAACACACCAGAUGUGAUUGGGGUGCAGAGGGAAGAAGGGCUGCAUCUGUGCAAGGAAAUCACUGCAGCAUCUGUUUCCUUCCCCGAUUUUUAUCCCAUUUGCAGUUUGAUAAGAGAACUGCCAUGUUGCAAUCUCAUAGCAUUCUAUAUGUAUCAAUCAAAAGGCAAAAACUGUCAAAAAUGAAUUCUGAAAAUAAUUCAUCAAGAAAAUAAAAGCCCCGUAGAAACAGACUAAUGUCACAAGUGUGUAUUUCUAAAGCUUUUGUUUUGAGUUUACAAGUCUGAUCUUAUUAAAACAAAUUGCUCUUUUGCUUUUUUUCCCAGUCAAUGCAAUUUCCAGAUGAGAUGAAGCAUAACUAAACAAAAAGUCUACGGUGAAGUGAUCGGCCAGCUCAGUCCGUGCUCCAGGAGCAUUCCUGCAUUCCUCAGAGCUAGGAAGCUCUUACACAGCAACAUCUAUGGACAAGACUCUCUCCUGACCCUGGUAGUACCCAAGGCUCCCUGUGAGGCCAAUAAACUGACUGUGGUUAUUCAAGUCAGCUCUCCCCUUGACCCAACUACUGGACAUACCCUGGGCAAGAGACCUUUCCUCCCUUCAGCAAGUCCAGCAAGCCAGGGGCACUCCUGAUCACCUGCUCUGAAUGAGCAGCCGUCAUAAGCAAAUCCUUUGGGUUCUGGAUUGCUAGUCCAGCUCCCUACAGAAUGAUGAAUGCUUCAAGUCUUGCUCUAUGAGGCAUUUCAUGGCUGAGGACCAAGAUUGAUAAAUUUCCAGAGAAACCGCCAUGGUCAACAGUCACACAAUGCAGUCUACACAGUAAAAUUAAAACUGACUGUGGAGUGAAUAGUUUUAGGACUUUCUUGAGAGCCAUUCCUGAAGACCUAAUAAAAAUUAGAAAAGUGCUUAACCCCCUUUUAUCUCCAAUGAAAACCAUAUUCCUUCAUUCACAUAUACAUUUGCAUAUCACACUAUAUGUCAUUAUAGGAAGCAAAUCAGCAAAGCAAUUCUACAUUAUUCUAAUAUGCACGUUUCUUUCUCUGUCAAGUGGAUAAUUAAAAAACAAAAGACAGAUGGGAAGUCAUGCUUUGUUUAUUACCUUCGCCAUAAGGUUUUCUGAUGCUGUGAUGGUAAAAUUAUUUUGAAUAGCAAGCAUUUACUAGAUGCUAUUAUUCUACAAAUUCUGUGGGAGAUUUCUUGUCACCUUGGAAAUUAUAUGUUUGUUUCUAGAAAGAAAAAUUAGCUUUAUUCAAGGUCUAAGUAAUUUGGAUGUAUGGCAAGCAGCAUCUAAAACAAGUCUAAUAUCAACAUCCACAAAUGUAGAUUUUAUGACUGUUAAAUAUACAUGUUGCAAAAGAUUAGAUUUACUGGUUUUCUUAUAUUGUGUUAGUCAUUUAUAACAUUUGGUGACUGAACAACAUAAACUUAUUUUAUGGUUCUUUCAUCCUUUCUCAAAAGGAUUGCAGUCUUCUAGUAAGGCAAAAUCAACACAAGGGUUUCUGGGAUAUAAGCACUGCACAUACAAAGGUAGUAUUUCUGAUGGAUAACGUUCUUUAAAGGUCUUUUCAUGAUCCAUUAAUUUAUGAAUUACACAGCAGAAUAGGCAUUGUCAAGGGCUUAAUUUCAGUUAUAUGUUGAUCUUCUUCCCUUUAAGCUUUUAUCCAAGAAGUAAGUAGGACUAAAAAUAACAUCUUUCCUUAGCCUGAAACUGACAGGUCAUAUCACAGAAUUAACUGUUUUAUUCUUAACUUAUUAAAAGGUGGGCAGUUAUCUAUAAAUAGGAACACUCACAAAAAAAAUCAAAAUAGAUUAAGAUUUUAAAAAAAUUGAUAAAACUUUUUUACAAUUUAUUGGAAAACUGACUUCCUGGGAGCCAGAUUUCCAUGAAAGCAGCCUACCUUCACCUUGCCAAACCUAAUCCAAUCCAGGUAAACCAGAAGUAAAUUACUACAGACGGGUUAUUUAGAAGUCGAUGAGAAAUCAGUCUCAGGGUCCACCUUACCUGAGAAGAACAUGCUUUUAGUGAUGGCUCAAAAAAGAUACCAAAAAAAAAAAGACUGAUGAGCAUAAUUAUGGAAGUAUUCUUACUCCCUAAGUACUAUUUUCCUCAAGGACUGAGGUCUGAGGUAAAUUUCAUAAGCCAUCAUAAAUCAAUUUUAUAGUGUUUACAGUGUUUAGAGCUGUUAUUUCUCUUUUCUCUCAUGUCUCUUUUUCUUACAGCAACAAAAAAAAAAAAAAAAAAACCAAAAAAAAACCAAAACAAAACAACAGCUCUCAAAAGGGAGAAUCUGCCAGAUCUGCUAGCAAGCUAAAGAAGUUGUGAUAAAAUUCUGACCUCAGGAGUUUUUGACACAAGGAGCAACUGCAAGCAUUGCUGCUAAACAGAAUUUGGCCGGGUGCUUGCAGUACAGUAUUUCAAGUAAUCCAGAUUAGCUGCUAUUAAGAGAUCUGUUUUUUACUUACAGGGUGUGGCAAUAUGUAAGAAACUCAUGGUAUCCUGAGAGGGAGUUUCUUAACUUCCUUCUCAUUACAUUCAAUGGUUUCUGUUUCACAAUGAAAAAGUGUGAAAAAAUGCUGACAAUAUUUACAUUCAAAUUUCUCUUGCAAAUAAUUACAGUCUUGAGUGUCAGCUAAGAUGAAACUAACAUAAACUUUAAUAUGACCACAUUUUUUUUUAAUUCUGAAAGAGCAGAACCCUCUUUUUCUUCCACAAAUUACCCUAGAGGCAUACCUGACAAUGUGUAGUCAGAUCUUGUUUUCUUGAAGUUCCCAAAACAUUUUGAGGCAUUGCAAUUGAAGGCAAUGUUCUUGCCAUGAGCAUAAUUGUAAUCAAGAGAUGAGAUAUUCAUUGAGCCAUUAAUUUAAGUAUAGUAAUUCUUUUCUCUUUUUUAGUAAAACUUAUAAAGCAAAGAGCAUGGUUUUGUUAAGAAUCAAACCCGUACAAAGCUGUUUGUUCUAUACUGUUGUGGUUUGGCUCUCUAAAGGUUUCUUUACAUGUCAGCAAAUCUGUGACAGGUUGGAAAAAUAUAAAAGAUUCAUUAUGAAGGUAAAAUUGUCAGAAGUCCAAAAGAUCAUGUAAUUUUCUUGAAACAAGCAUAAACAUGAAAUUCUAGGGAUAAAUGGGAGGAAGCUGCCUAAGCACACCUGGAAAUAUUUCAAAUGGAAAUCAUGGAUUCUAAGCUACCUCUGAAAAUCUCCAGUCAUCAGUAUACAAGUGAACUAAAUGCAGUCACUACAGGUGUUAUUUUAUCAGCAUAUAAGAAAGAGUCAUUCCAUAUAUACAUGUUUUCACUUCCCAUUCACUAAUUUAAAACAGAUAUAAUUCAAUU